CCUACGGGUGGCAGCAGUGAGGAAUAUUGCACAAUGGGGGAAACCCUGAUCCAGCGACGCCGCGUGCGUGAAGAAGUCAUUCGUUAUGUAAAGCUCUAUCAGCAGGGGAGAAAAUGACGGUACCUGAGUAAGAAGCCCCGGCUAACUACAUGCCAGCAGCCGCGGUACUACGUAGGGGGCAAGCGUUAUCCGGAUUUACUGGGUGUAAAGGGAGCGUAGACGGCAGUGCAAGUCUGGAGUGAAAGGCGGGGGCUCAACCCCCGGACUGCUUGGGAAACUGUACGGCUGGAGUGCAGGAGAGGUAAGUGGAAUGCCUAGUGUAGCGGUGAAAUGCGUAGAUAUUAGGCGGAACACCAGUGGCGAAGGCGGCUUUCUGGACUGUAACUGACACUGAGGUACGAAAGCGUGGGGAGCAAACAGGAUUAGAUACCCCAGUAGUC
rnacentral:rRNA from 1 species